rnacentral:rRNA from 1 species
GACAUCCAGAGAACUUUCCAGAGAUGGAUUGGUGCCUUCGGGAACUCUGAGACAGGUGCUGCAUGGCUGUCGUCAGCUCGUGUUGUGAAAUGUUGGGUUAAGUCCGCAACGAGCGCAACCCCUAUCCUUUGUUGCCAGCGAUUCGGUCGGGAACUCAAAGGAGACUGCCGGUGAUAAACCGGAGGAAGGUGGGGAUGACGUCAAGUCAUCAUGGCCCUUACGAGUAGGGCUACACACGUGCUACAAUGGCGUAUACAAAGAGAAGCGACCUCGCGAGAGCAAGCGGACCUCAUAAAGUACGUCGUAGUUCGGAUUGGAGUCUGCAACUCGACUCCAUGAAGUCGGAAUCGCUAGUAAUCGUAGAUCAGAAUGCUACGGUGAAUACGUUCCCGGGCCUUGUACACACCGCCCGUCACACCAUGGGAGUGGGUUGCAAAAGAAGUAGAUAGCUUAACCUUCGGGAGGGCGUUUACCACUUUGUGAUUCAUGACUGGGGUGAAGUCGUAACAAGGUAGGCGUAGCGAG